UUAAUUGAAACCAAAAAGAGGUAUAUUAUUGUUAAUAAUAAAAUUGAAAAAUAUUUCCAAUUAAA
rnacentral:tRNA from 1 species